rnacentral:rRNA from 1 species
CAAUAGCGUAUAUUAAAGUUGUUGCAGUUAAAAAGCUCGUAGUUGAAUUUUUGCUUGCCGCCGAUGUCGGAACUUCCGUACGUUCGGCGGCGUGCAUCCUUGGGUGGAACCUGUGUGGCAUUAGGUUGUCGUGCAGGGGAUGCUCAUCGUUUACUGUGAAAAAAUUAGAGUGUUCAAAGCAGGCUUACGCCGUUGAAUAUAUUAGCAUGGAAUAAUAAGAUAGGACCUUGGUACUAUUUUGUUGGUUUGCGCACCGAGGUAAUGAUUAACAGGGACAGUUGGGGGUAUUCGUAUUCCAUUGUCAGAGGUGAAAUUCUUGGAUUUCUGGAAGACGAACUACUGCGAAAGCAUUUACCAAGGAUGUUCNCAUUG